GCUAAAAAGUUGCAUCCAGUGAGUUUUAAGUUGUAUUUUCAGUUCUGUCAUUUCUAUUUGUUCUGUUUUUUGUAUCUUUUAUUUAUUUUCUGAGAUUUCCUAUUUUUCAUUUGUUUCAAGAAUAUUCAUAAUUGAUCACUGAAUCAUUUUUAUGAUGUCUGCUUUAAAAUCCUUGUCAGAUAAUUUGAACGUCUGAGUCAUUUCAGUGUUGGCAUCUAUUGAUUGCCUUUUCUCAUUUAGGUUGUGAUUUUCCUGGUUCUUGGAAAAUUGUAUCCUGAAUAUUUUGGGUAUUAUGAGACUCUGGAUCUUACUUAAAUCUAUCUUCUAUUAGAGCAGAGAGUCACUCUGCUUAGUUUAGUAUACAGAUUCUCAUCUGAUUUUGUGGACCAUAAUUAUAACCACAAUUCAAUUUUUAGAGUCCUUGCAGUGACAUUCAGGGCUGCUUUAUUUAUGUGCAGUGGUGUCCCACACUGUAAUUCAGUUCUAAAAGCUUUUAUAUGUUACUUUUAGUCAGUUUCAUGUGUUGGUUAGGUUUCCUUUGGACUUGAUUUGUAAGUUUAAAGAUUCCCUUUCUUUGGCUCCUUCCCUUCCAGGCUCUGCCCCACCUUCCUCAUUCCACUCGGGUCUGGGAGGAGUACCACCUGCUACUGCUGGGAAGGGGUGGAGUCCAGGCUUCCCACUCGGUCUCAGCAGAUACUGUGCAGCACUGGGGAAGAGUCACCCUGGACCAGGAGGGUAGCAUGUUCCAGACUGUCCUGUAUCACUUAUUGGGGAGUGAAAAUCCAAGCUCUCCACUCAUUGUCUGCUGGCACUGCUGGUGGUGGAGUUGAUGGAAAUGAGAGUGAUGCCAGUUUACACACAUGGAACAGAGACACGCCUAGUCUCAGUCACCACCUUCCUGUUGUCCUCUUGUUUAAGGAUCCCCAAAGGCUUGGGCCCCCAGACAGUGGAUUCGGCAGCUCUGCUGACGUGGUCACUCUGGAGACGUCCGGCCCUGCUCAGCUCAGGAAAACAGACGGGCUGAUGAUGAAUAUAAAUGUUUUUCGGAGUAUGUGCCAACAGAA